AGAGAACGAACAAGAGGAAAGAAAGUUCAUUUAAGUGGAGAAAGAUAUAAGAAGGCCGCCAUGUUGUGUCCUUUCUGUGGCCAACAUCUAGGGACAGUUCAAGUGUUCUGUGGCUCCUGUGGCAAACAUGUACAGUUUUUGGCAGAAGUUGAACACAACAGCAUUCCAUUAGGAGGGUCAGGAACUCACGCUUGGGACCACCAGUGUCCACUCCAUCCUCAGUUUGUCCCUCAUCGUCAGUAAACUUAACCUGCAUCUGAUGAGAGGGGUCGAAUGAGGCACCUUUGAAGCUGCGGAUUGCUCCAUCCCAUACAUUGGAUCGGUUAAUAUUAAACCUGCUGCAAGAGGUAUUUUUUAUUUUUGCAGAGAGUUCUGCAACAACGUCUGGCGCAGUGAGGUAUUCUGUGCUGGGAAAGACAAAGUGAUGUAUUGUAAUAUUAAAUGAUGAAGCUAGUAAUAAGAUUUACAGUAUAGAAUAAAAAAAUGAAGUGAUAAAAGUAACAUUUAAUACAUUUCCUCUGCAGUUUGCUCCGUUUCCUCUUCUGGCUCAGACUAGCUGUCAAUAAUGAUAAGUGCAUACAGUUGUGUAGUUGCUGCAGUGAGAAGACAGUUGAAUAAUUACUUUCAAAUACAUAAUAUAUGCAUGACAGUCAUAUUUACAAAAGGAUGUCGAUCUUCUUCCUGGUUUUUUUAAUACAUUGGGUUCUAAACUGACAACAGCACUUUGUCAUACUCCUGCACAAUCCUUGUAAACAUUUGAAAUGAAUGCAAGAAACAAUAUCUGAUCUUUGAAAAAUAUCUGUGGGUGUUUUUUGUAUCGUCUUCACUAAGAUGUCAGAUGUUGUGGGUGUCCUUUGGAAAUGUAUGAAAGUAUAAUUGUUCUGCUUCCUGGCAAUGUUACCCACUGUGAUUGGAGGCUAUACAAACAAAGACAUGUACAAAUAAAGAUACACACCAAACAA